rnacentral:rRNA from 1 species
UACGUAGGGUGCAAGCGUUGUCCGGAAUUAUUGGGCGUAAAGAGCUCGUAGGCGGUCUGUCGCGUCGGCUGUGAAAAUCCCGAGGCUCAACCUCGGGUCUGCAGUCGAUACGGGCAAACUAGAGUAUUGCAGGGGAGACUGGAAUUCCUGGUGUAGCGGUAGAAAUGCGCAGAUAUCAGGAGGAACACCGGUGGCGAAGGCGGGUCUCUGGGCAAUAACUGACGCUGGAGGAGCGAAAGCGUGGGGAGCGAACAGG